CCCGGUUCCAAGGAUAUACUUUUUAUGGGGUUAUUGCAUGUUUUGGGGUCCCUGUGUGUUUUAUGAAACUGUAUUAUUUCUUGCCAGCAGAUAAUUGAGCUUUGUGUAUUGUAGAAACUCAAUUAUCUAGCCUGGCCCAGAGGAGGAGUUUUGUGUUGCAUAAAUUGUGAGUUCUGUGUGCCAGUAAAUCAGUCUUGUUCCAGCAUUAAGCCUUGGCUCAUGUUUGGGGGAAGGGAUACCUACACUCUGGG